rnacentral:rRNA from 1 species
GGGUACAUAGAAAAGCUUGCUUUUUUGAUGACGACCGGCGCACGGGUGCGUAACGCGUAUGCAAUCUACCUUUUGCUACUGGAUAGCCCAGAGAAAUUUGGAUUAACACAGUAUAGUAUCAUAUUACUGCAUGGUAUUUAUGAUUAAAGGCUACGGCAGAAGAUGAGCAUGCGUCCUAUUAGCUAGUUGGUGUGGUAACGGCAUACCAAGGCAACGAUAGGUAGGGGCCCUGAGAGGGGGAUCCCCCACACUGGUACUGAGACACGGACCAGACUCCUACGGGAGGCAGCAGUGAGGAAUAUUGGACAAUGGAGGCAACUCUGAUCCAGCCAUGCCGCGUGCAGGAUGACUGCCCUAUGGGUUGUAAACUGCUUUUAUACAGGAAGAAAACCGCUCUACGUGUA